GACGGAGGGGGCUAGCGUUGUUCGGAAUGACUGGGCGUAAAGGGCGCGUAGGCGGUUAAUUAAGUUAGACGUGAAAGCCUCGGGCUUAACCUGAGAAUGGCGUUUGAUACUGGUUGACUUGAGGACGAGAGAGGAAAGUGGAAUUCCGAGUGUAGAGGUGAAAUUCGUAGAUAUUCGGAGGAACAUCAGAAGCGAAGGCGGCUUUCUGGCUCGUCCCUGACGCUGAGGCGCGAAAGCGUGGGGAG
rnacentral:rRNA from 1 species